UACGUAGGGGGCUAGCGUUGUCCGGAAUCAUUGGGCGUAAAGCGUGCGCAGGCGGUUUUGUAAGUCUGUCGUGAAAGCCCCGGGCUCAACCUGGGAAUUGCGAUGGAGACUGCAAGGCUUGAAUCUGGCAGAGGGGGGUAGAAUUCCACGUGUAGCAGUGAAAUGCGUAGAGAUGUGGAGGAACACCGAUGGCGAAGGCAGCCCCCUGGGUCAAGAUUGACGCUCAUGCACGAAAGCGUGGGGAGCAAACAGG
rnacentral:rRNA from 1 species